AAACUCAAAGGAAUUGACGGGGAGCACCACAACGGGUGGAGCUUGCGGUUAAUUGGAUUCAACGCCGGAAAUCUUACCGGGACCGACAGCAAUAUGAAGGCCAGGCUGAAGACUUUGCCGGAUUAGCUGAGAGGUGGUGCAUGGCCGUCGUCAGUUCGUACUGUGAAGCAUCCUGUUAAGUCAGGCAACGAGCGAGACCCACGCCCACAGUUGCCAGCGUACUCUCUGGAGUGACGGGUACACUGUGGGGACCGCCGCUGCUAAAGCGGAGGAAGGAAUGGGCAACGGUAGGUCAGUAUGCCCCGAAUAUCCCGGGCUACACGCGAGCUACAAUGGUUGGUACAAUGGGUAUCUACCCCGAAAGGGGACGGGAAUCUCCUAAAACCAAUCUUAGUUCGGAUUGAGGGCUGCAACUCGCCCUCAUGAAGCUGGAAUCUGUAGUAAUCGUGUCUCAAAAUGGCACGGUGAAUAUGUCCCUGCUCCUU
rnacentral:rRNA from 1 species